rnacentral:rRNA from 1 species
GCAUAUCAAUAAGCGGAGGAAAAGAAACUAACUAGGAUUCCCUUAGUAACGGCGAGUGAACCGGGAUGAGCUCAAAUUUGAAAUCUGGCGUCUUUCAGGCGUCCGAGUUGUAAUCUAUAGAGGCGUUUUCCGCGCCGGACCGCGUCCAAGUCUCUUGGAAUAGAGUAUCAAAGAGGGUGACAAUCCCGUACUUGACGCGACAACCGGUGCUCUGUGAUACGUUCUCAACGAGUCGAGUUGUUUGGGAAUGCAGCUCUAAAUGGGUGGUAAAUUCCAUCUAAGGCUAAAUAUUGGCGAGAGACCGAUAGCGAACAAGUACCGUGAGGGAAAGAUGAAAAGCACUUUGGAAAGAGAGUUAAACAGCACGUGAAAUUGUUAAAAGGGAAACGAUUGAAGUCAGUCGUGUGAAAGGUAUUCAGCCGUCUCUGGCGGUGUAUUUGCCUUUCACGGGUCAACAUCAGUUUAGUCCGGUAGAAAAAGGCUGGAGGAAGGUGGCACCCUCGGGUGUGUUAUAGCCUCCUGUCAUAUGUGCCGGAUUAGACUGAGGAACGCAGCUUGCAGCAAUGCCGGGGUUCGCCCACGUACAAGCUUAGGAUGUUGACAUAAUGGCUUUAAACGACCCGUCUUG